rfam:Ciona savignyi cont_50184, whole genome shotgun sequence.
CGGCCUGAGGUCGGACGAGGCUACCCGCUGAAUUUAAGCAUAUUACUAAGCGGAGGAAAAGAAACUAACGAGGAUUCCCUCAGUAACGGCGAGUGAAGCGGGACGAGCCCAGCGCCGAGA